rnacentral:rRNA from 1 species
UGGGGAAUUUUGGACAAUGGGCGAAAGCCUGAUCCAGCAAUGCCGCGUGUGUGAAGAAGGCCUUCGGGUUGUAAAGCACUUUUUGUCCGGAAAGAAAUCCUCUGGGUUAAUACCUCGGGGGGAUGACGGUACCGGAAGAAUAAGCACCGGCUAACUACGUGCCAGCAGCCGCGGUAAUACGUAGGGUGCAAGCGUUAAUCGGAAUUACUGGGCGUAAAGCGUGCGCAGGCGGUUUUGUAAGACGGAUGUGAAAUCCCCGGGCUUAACCUGGGAACUGCAUUCGUGACUGCAAGGCUAGAGUAUGGCAGAGGGGGGUUAGAAUUCCACGUGUGAGCAGUGAAAUGCGUAGAGAUGUGGAGGAAUACCGAUGGCGAAGGCAGCCCCCUGGGCCAAUACUGACGCUCA